AGUGAACGCUGGCGGUAGGCCUAACACAUGCAAGUCGAACGGCAGCACAGGAGAGCUUGCUCUCUAGGUGGCGAGUGGCGGACGGGUGAGGAAUACAUCGGAAUCUGCCCAGUCGUGGGGGAUAACGUAGGGAAACUUACGCUAAUACCGCAUACGACCUUCGGGUGAAAGAGGGGGAUCGCAAGACCUCUCGCGAUUGGAUGAGCCGAUGUCGGAUUAGCUAGUUAGCGGGGUAAUGGCCCACCAAGGCGACGAUCCGUAGCUGGUCUGAGAGGAUGAUCAGCCACACUGGAACUGAGACACGGUCCAGACUCCUACGGGAGGCAGCAGUGGGGAAUAUUGGACAAUGGGCGCAAGCCUGAUCCAGCCAUACCGCGUGGGUGAAGAAGGCCUUCGGGUUGUAAAGCCCUUUUGUUGGGAAAGAAAUCUUUCAGGCUAAUACCCUGGGAGGAUGACGGUACCAAAAGAAUAAGCACCGGCUAACUUCGUG
rnacentral:rRNA from 1 species